rnacentral:rRNA from 1 species
GCCAGACUCCUACGGGAGGCAGCAGUAGGGAAUUUUCGUCAAUGGGCGCAAGCCUGAACGAGCGAUGCCGCGUGAGUGAAGAAGGCCUUCGGGUCGUAAAGCUCUGUUGCGGGGGAAAAAAGGCAGCAUCAGGAAAUGGGUGCUGACUGAUGGUGCCCCGCCAGAAAGUCACGGCUAACUACGUGCCAGCAGCCGCGGUAAUACGUAGGUGGCGAGCGUUAUCCGGAAUGAUUGGGCGUAAAGGGUGCGCAGGCGGUCCUGCAAGUCUGGAGUGAAACGCAUGAGCUCAACUCAUGCAUGGCUUUGGAAACUGGAGGACUGGAGAGCAGGAGAGGGCGGUGGAACUCCAUGUGUAGCGGUAAAAUGCGUAGAUAUAUGGAAGAACACCAGUGGCGAAGGCGGCCUUCUGGGCCACGACUGACGCUGAGGCGCGAAAGCUAGGGGAGCGAACAGGAUUAGAUACCCUUGUAU